GAUGAACGCUGGCGGCGUGCCUAAUACAUGCAAGUCGAGCGAACAGACGAGGAGCUUGCUCCUCUGACGUUAGCGGCGGACGGGUGAGUAACACGUGGAUAACCUACCUAUAAGACUGGGAUAACUUCGGGAAACCGGAGCUAAUACCGGAUAAUAUAUUGAACCGCAUGGUUCAAUAGUGAAAGACGGUUCUGCUGUCACUUAUAGAUGGAUCCGCGCCGCGUUAGCUAGUUGGUAAGGUAACGGCUUACCAAGGCAACGAUGCGUAGCCGACCUGAGAGGGUGAUCGGCCGCACUGGAACUGAGACACGGUCCAGACUCCUACGGGAGGCAGCAGUAGGGAAUCUUCCGCAAUGGGCGAAAGCUUGACGGAGCAACGCCGCGUGAGUGAUGAAGGUCUUCGGAUCGUAAAACUCUGUUAUUAGGGAAGAACAAAUGUGUAAGUAACUAUGCACGUCUUGACGGUACCUAAUCAGAAAGCCACGGCUAACUACGUG
rnacentral:rRNA from 1 species